CUCUGUAGUUCAGUUGGUAGAACGGCGGACUGUUAAUCCGUAUGUCACUGGUUCGAAUCCAGUCGGAGGAGAA
rnacentral:tRNA from 3 species